rnacentral:rRNA from 1 species
ACUCCUACGGGAGGCAGCAGUGGGGAAUCUUGCACAAUGGGCGAAAGCCUGAUGCAGCGACGCCGCGUGAGGGAUGACGGCCUUCGGGUUGUAAACCUCUUUCAGCAGGGAAGAAGCGAGAGUGACAGUACCUGCAGAAGAAGCGCCGGCUAACUACGUGCCAGCAGCCGCGGUAAU